CUCCAACCAGAUUUUCAGUGGGUGUGGUUUGGAGGGUGUGGCUGAUUUCAGGAGGCUGGAAUGUUGUCAGUUUGACAGAGAAGCAUCAUUGUCAUCAUUGAUUUUACUCCUCGAAGCAACACCAUGAAGAAAAGCACGAGCAGCGGCACCAUGAGAUGCCAAAUCAGCAUUACACCCGGCAGCAGCCGCAGCACCGGGGGCCUCAACAGCACCUUCAGCAGCCGCAGCAAGAUAAGCAACCCCACCAGAAUUACCGCAGUCUGCCACGGCGGCGGCGGCGGUGGCAGAGCAUCUGCACCGCAUGGCUCUCAACAGCAGGCUUUUUCAGGGAAAAAGCCCUAGCUUCAUAGAAACCAGCUUGCAAACAUGUUUAGCCCAAAUCGACAGCAGAAUCAAUAUGUAAUCCACACCAGCUACAUGGGUUAUGAUUUUUAAUGAAACUGUUCAAUCAAUUUCCUUUGUGCUGUAUCCUCUUUAUUAGUAAAUGUGAUAUGGAAAAAAAAAUCUAUUAUUAAGAUGUAAGCGAGUGUGAAGAAGAUAUGUGUUAUUGCUUUGUAUUAGUUUUUCAUGAUCUGGGUUCUCCUUUGGUAGGCUACAUUUGGGUCUUAAAAUGAAAUAGAGGUUCUAAACAUACUAAGUGAGUGCAGUUUUAGAACAGCUUCAGUGUAGAUUUAUGGAGCAGAACAACAGUGUCACUUCAAGGCUGCAAAGCAACAGCAAAGAUUCUUCCCGGCACUGGAGUCCAGUUGAGCUGUGAGUGUUGUCUCUCACGUUCCAUCUUCUGAUGUUCCUUCUGUGUCAUGUGUGUGAUUGUUCAAAUACAAAAAAAUGUUGCUGUCAAGUGUGUAAACGAUGGAAAUGUGUUCAUGCUCUUUACAAAUGUGGAAGAUAUUGCCUACAUAUUCUCUUCAUCGUCAUAUACAGACUAUUUACGUUGCUGUAAUAGAAGUUGUGCUUCUGUCAUGUAAUUCACCAUUAAUUACACAAUAUUUCUUUUCCUUUACAAAGUCACCAAGAGAGCCUUGUGGAGAAACAACUGCACUUAUAUGAGGAUAUUCAGCUGGAUCAUCUGCCUUCCUGGUUUAGUUUUGUUGCAUUGAAGUGAUUACACUGACUUUUUCACAGAAUGUGGACUUUUAGAUGAAUCUGCAGUGACAAUGACACUGUACUGCAAUAUUUCUGCUGAGUUAUAGGUGAAUCCUCAAUAAAUUAAUGGUGUUACCUCUGUACACACAUUGCAUAUUCUUGAUUUGUGUUUCGUAAAUAUACAUUGGGAAGCGUAAAUUACUGUCACGGUGCAAGGUGGAAGGACCCAGGCGCAGACAGCAGGGGGAGUUCAAAGAGGGUAUUUUAUUUCCAAGGGGAACUCAGGAGGGCAGGAAACCAGGAACUCGGGAAACUCAAAAAACACAGCAGGUGCAGGACAGGACACGCGAACACACGGACAGACCCUCAAGGAGCCGACAAGACACACCAGGACAGCAGGACUUAUAAAAGGGGCAGGACAGGUGCAGCACAUUAGGGAGGUAACGAGACAGAGACCAGACAGGAGAACAUGAGGGCAGACAAACACAAAACAGGGCCCAAGCGCCCCCACAUGGGUGCAGGGGCACAGGGAGUCACAAUUACAGCAGAGGACAAAGAAACAAAAUGUGAUUUCCUGUGAAAAUGAUGCUGUUCAUGUUAUUAAUGCACUGGUUUUAAUUACUCUGUAGUCUGUGUUUCAAAUCCAUCUAUCUCUUGAGAUUAUCUACUUUUUCUUUGGUGAAAUAAAUGAUCGGUGUCUUGGC